rnacentral:ncRNA from 1 species
UAUUAGUGACGCGCAUGAAUGGAUCAACAAGAUUCCUACUGUCCCUAUCUACUGUCUAGCGAAACCACAGCCAAGGGAACGGGCUUGGCAGAAUCAGCGGGGAAAGAAGACCCUGUUGAGCUUGACUCUAGUCUGACUCUGUGAACAGACAUUGAAGGUGUAGCACAGGUGGGAGACCGGUGGCCGUUCGCGGUACCGUGCCGACAGUGAAAUACCACUACUUUGAUCGUUUCUUUACUUAUUCGGUGAAGCGGAAGGAACGGUCGCUCGCGUGGCCGUCUGCCCUUAUCCAACGCCACCUUCUCGUGGUCAGGAACGUGAGUACUCCAACGAGUGUAUCUUUGGAGGAAACAGACGGUGUUGGGUUGCCUGAGCGACCAGGCGCUCUUCUGCAUCAGCGUUCUGCGCUUUGCAGCGGCUAGGUGGAAGAAGCACUUAUGGUCGCUCUUGGCAUGGUGGCCCAGAGCGGCGCCCGGGGCAACUCCGGGGGCCACCCACCUCGGUGUAAACGGCCGCUCCCCAAACUUACUGAUCAGGGGUUUGUCCCCAGAUCACCCCGUAGCUUAACAUGGAAAGU